rnacentral:rRNA from 1 species
AGAUUGAACGCUGGCGGCAGGCCUAACACAUGCAAGUCGAGCGGCAGCACGGGUACUUGUACCUGGUGGCGAGCGGCGGACGGGUGAGUAAUGCCUAGGAAUCUGCCUGGUAGCGGGGGAUAACGCUCGGAAACGGACGCUAAUACCGCAUACGUCCUACGGGAGAAAGCAAGGGACCUUCGGGCCUUGCGCUAUCAGAUGAGCCUAGGUCGGAUUAGCUAGUUGGUGAGGUAAUGGCUCACCAAGGCGACGAUCCGUAACUGGUCUGAGAGGAUGAUCAGUCACACUGGAACUGAGACACGGUCCAGACUCCAGGGAGCAGCGAGUGGGAAUAGUUGGAACAAGUGGGACGAAAGCCUAGGACUCC